UGUGAUGACAAAGAAGGUGGAAGGGGA
rnacentral:piRNA from 1 species